UGAGGAAUCGUCCAAUGGCAGGACACGAGACUCUGAAUCUCGUUAUGUAGGUUCGACCCCUACUUCCUCAGCCA
rnacentral:tRNA from 1 species